ACGGAGGAUGCAAGCGUUAUCCGGAUUCAUUGGGUUUAAAGGGUGCGCAGGCGGAAUGAUAAGUCAGUGGUGAAAUCCUACGGCUCAACUGUAGAACUGCCAUUGAUACUGUCGUUCUUGAGUACACUUGGAGUGGGCGGAAUGUGUCAUGUAGCGGUGAAAUGCUUAGAUAUGGCCCAGAACACCGAAAGGGAUGGCAGUUCACUAAGUUGUGACUGACUCUCAGGCCCGAAGGCGAGGAAAACAAGCAG
rnacentral:rRNA from 1 species